AAGAGAUCGGCGCGUGAAGCCGUAAUGGACGAAAAGAAGUGGGUGCCAGUUCGAAGGAUUGUGAAAGUGGAAGUUUAAGCUCGUGUAUUUAGUGAAACAUCUCUUCAGCUCUCUAGCCUCAACAAAAUGACAUAAACAUUUUUGAAACGAUGAUCAAUGCGUUGUAUCUACUUUCAAAUAUAUUAUAGAGAGCAUUGCCAUAGUACUAAUUAAAGUAAGAAAUGUCUUAUCCUGGCCAACCUCCAAUGGGAAUACCAGGCAUGCCACCUAUGCCUUACAUGGUUGGCGCACCUCCUCCAAUUAUAGGUGGUGUAAUGCCUAUGGCACAUAUGAUUCCAACACCCGUAUCUGCGAUGCAGACCUCAGCUCCAGCUGUUCGGUAUGCACGUAACCAGAAUCGUCAUGAUAAUAAUCGACGUCGUGAGAGAGAAUCCGGCCCACCAGUUACAGUGUUCAUUGGUAACAUUAUGGACAGAGCACCUGAUGUGAUGAUUCGACAUAUUCUGGGUGCAUGUGGCCAUGUUCUUUCGUGGAAGAGAGUCCAAGCAUUUGGAUUUUGUGAAUAUGCAGGUCCUGAUGCAGGUCUUAGAGCAGUUAGAUUACUUCAUGAUAUGGAAAUAGGCACAAAGAAACUUGUUGUAAAAGUUGAUGCAAAAGCCAAAGUUGUACUUGAUCAGUUUAAAGCGGAAAGAAGAAAAAAGUUGAGAGGAGGUCAGUCACCUUUACAAGAUGAAACAUGUACUGAUGGGACAGAUGGAGAAGAAGGUGAAGAUUACAUGGAUGAGAGCAUGAGAGUAGUGGAUGCGGAUGCGCUAGCUCGCAUUAAUCAAAUCAUAGCUGAACAUGCUGCUGAUCUGGAAAUGGCUCAAGUUGCUCCUGAGGAACAUCAAACAAAAAUGGUUGCAAAAUCUUUGAACUUGGAUGAUGCAGAAAUAGAAGAAAGUAAAAGAGACUUGAUUACACGAGAAAUUGGAAAAUUCAGGGAGGUUAUGAAGAAGCAGGAGGAGGAGAAGGCCCAAGUAAAACGGAAGAAAGAAGCAGUCGAGAAAGAAGAGCGGGAAAAGCGUGAAAAAGAACGGCGUGACAGGCGAGAUGGCAGUAGUACUAAAGACGAUCAGGACGGUGAUCCUGGUAGCCCUACAUCUCACAAGGGUCGUAGUAGUAGUACUGGAAGUAGUAGAAGAGAUAAAAGACGGUCUAAAUCCAGGUCCAAAGAACGAGAUAGGGAUCGUCAGAGAAGCGAUAGAGAUCGCGAUAGAGACAGAGAUCGAGAUAGAGAUCGAGAACGAGAAAGAGACAGAGAUCGUGAAAGGGAACGCGAACGAGAACGCGAGAGAGAUAGAGAACGAGAAAGGGAGAGGGAAAGGGAACGAGAUAGAGAACGCGAAAGGGAACGCGAAAGGGAGGAAGCGAGAAAGACGGAAAGAGAGAUCAUGCGUGAAAGGGAGGAAGAGGAGGAGGCGAAAGAAAGGAAGAAGAACGAAAGAAGAGCACGUGAAAAAGAAGCGGCGUAUCAAGAGCGUUUGAGAGCGUGGGAGACACGGGAACGUCGUAAACAAAAGGAAUAUGAAAAAGAGGCGGAGAAACGUAGAGCGAAACGAGAAGCAAGAGAAAGGGAAGCGAAACGGUUGAAAGAAUUUCUUGAAGAUUACGACGAUGAUAGAGACGAUGCUAAAUAUUACAAAGGCAAAGAACUCUCGCGACGUCUGGAAGAGAGAGCACUUGAAGCAGAAGCCGAUUCGCGAGAUCGUUGCGCAGAGCGUCAAGAGCUUCAACGUCUCCGCGAUAAACUUUAUGCCGAUGCGUCUCAUCCAGAUCCAGCGGCGGAGUUUGAAAGGUUAAAAGCAGAAAGGGAGGAGCAGUAUAAGCCUAAACCAGUGAUUACUAUAAUUGACGAGGAAGACGAAAAGGUAGUGAAAAAGGAAAAGGAAGUUAUGCCACCCAUAGAAACUGAGCCUAUCGAAAGUGACAGUGACGAGUGUGUGCAAUUUGACGAAGCCUCCCAACCGGAAGCGCCAUCCAGAACACCUCCACGACAUCAUCAUCACCACAGAAGGCAUCACCGUCAUCAUCAGAAUCAUCAUCACGACGGCGAAGAGAACGAAGAAGUCGUAGAAACGGAUAGAGAGAGUUUAAAGGGUACGAGAUCGUCGCCAUCUCAUCAAGCAGUCACACCAUCGGCACAAUCCAUUCCACCCACGUUAGAUGAAGAUUCACGCAUGUCUCUUGUUAGUGAACCCGAAAAAACGAGCAGUAGUAACUUCGUGCCGUUCGCUAUGGGAAGCGGUGGUAAUCGCGGUGGCGAUCAUGGUGUUGGUAACAAAACCCCAGCUAGUCCCAGCACGGCUGUCACUGUUAAUUCGCAACAAACAAAUCAAACCAGAAAGAAAGGUCGAAUCGACGUCAAGGAUGUAUUUAAUAACGAUGACGACGACGAUAGUGCUAAUAACUCGAAAAAGCGUAAACUAGUUCCUUUAGAUUAUGGCGAAGAGAAAAAGAAAAAGUCUACCGAGGAUGUUCAAAAAUCAGGAAAAGAAGAAAGUACAAAAAGUCAAGAAGAAAAACGAAAACACAUAAAAUCCCUUAUUGACAAGAUUCCUACAGAUAAAAACGCUUUAUUCGGAUACCAACUGGAUUGGGCGGUAAUAGAUAACACAUUAAUGGAGAAAAGAAUUAAGCCAUGGAUUAAUAAAAAGAUUAUUGAAUAUAUUGGCGAACCUGAACCCACACUAGUAGAUUUUAUUUGUAGCAAAGUAAUGGCCGGUAGCUCUCCUCAGGGCAUACUUGACGAUGUACAGAUGGUAUUGGACGAAGAAGCAGAAGUGUUUGUAGUCAAAAUGUGGAGGUUAUUAAUUUACGAAGUGGAAGCAAAAAAAAUGGGCUUAGUUAAAUAAAUGGAUAUCAAUUAAAGUACUAAUCGACAUACAAAUUUAUACUACACAUCAAAUUCCCUUGGUUAAGAUGUAAUAAUUAGUGUAUCUAUUUCGUAUUAAUUUGAAAUGUAUAUUAAGUUUAGAGAUGUUCCUGUUGUAAUGGAACAUGUGAGCAAUAAUCGGUAAUGAAAUCUAGUAAUAUAGGCAAGCGACGAUGAGAUUAAUUAACAUGUUUUGAGAAAGAGGUAAGUAGCGAUGGAUAAGAUUAACACGAGCAAGAUGAACAAUUGUAUUACGAAUAAAACCAUUUUUUGUAUACGCUUA